ensembl:lncRNA
UGGGCUAGGAAAACAACACAGGAAGACCUGGGGAACAACAAGUAAUACUGUCAGCUCCAGUGCCGGGCUGGCCAGAGGAGAAUGUGGAGAACAAGUCUGGAAUCACGGCUUAAGCUCCAGCUUCCCCUCUGGCAUAUUUCUGCUUGUAUUGGGUGCUGCUGACUGUGAGCAUUUGGGGGACUAAGAUGGCAUCUACCUGGAGCCUGCGGCCACCACCAUAGACUCCUUGCGAUUGUUGCGUCGGCAUGUCUGUCAUCAAUGGUUCCUGAGACGUAAUCCUCUCAGAAAUGUAGUCGACAUUCUUGUUUGCUUUAGAGUAGAAAAUCCUCUAAUUCGAAAAAGUGCAUGAUCUCAAUGUUCAUAGCCAUGCUAUUUACAUUAGCCAAGACAUGGAAGCUACUAAGUGUCUGCCAACAAAGGAACGGAUAAAAAAGUUGUGGUAUAUAUAUAUAGAUAUAGAUAUAGAUGUAGAUAUAUACACAAUGGAAUAUUACUCAGCCAUAAAAAUGAAUGAAAUAAUUCUGUUUGAACCAACGUGGAUGGAUCUAGAGGUUAUUAUACUAAGUGAAGUGAGUCAGAUAGAGAAAGACAAAUAUUAUAUGAUAUCAAGAAAGCUGAGCACCAAAGAAUUGAUGUUUUUGAACUAUGGUGUUGGAGAAGACUCUUGAGAGUCCCUUGGACUACAAGGAGAUCCAACCAGUCCUUUCUAAAGGAGAUCAGUCCUGGAUGCUCUUUGGAAGGAAUGAUGCUAAAGCUGAAACUCCAGUACUUUGGCCACCUCAUGCAAAGAGUUGACUCAUUGGAAAAGACUCUGAUGCUGGGAGGGAUUGGGGGCAGGAGGAAAAGGGGACGACAGAGGAUGAGAUGGCUGGAUGGCGUCACUGACUCGAUGGACGUGAGUUUGAGUGAACUCCGGGAGUUGGUGAUGGAUGGGGAGGCCUGGCGUGCUGCGAUUCAUGGGGUCGCAAAGAGUCGGACAUGACUGAGCGACUGAACUGAACUGAACUGAUAUGUAGAAUCAUAAAAAUAAAACAAAUGAAUUUAUUUACAAAACAGAAACAGACUCACAUAGAACACAAACUUAUGGUUACUGAAGAGAAAAGGGGUGGGGAUUGAUGAAUUAGAAAUAUGAGAUUAAUAGAUGUGCACUGUUUUAUGUACCUAUACUAGAAAAUAAUCUAGGGAAAAAAAAUAUAUAUAUAAAACAGGGAAUUCCCUGACUGUCCAGUGGUUUGGGCUAUGCUUUCAUUGUGGGGCAUGGAUUUGAUCCCUGACUCUGGUCUGUCCAGAUAGCCUUAGUGGUAAAGAAUCCUCCUGCCAAUGCAGGAUCUGCAGGAGAAGCAAUUUCGAUCCUGGCUCAGGAAGAUCCCCUAGAGGAGGAAAUGGCAAUCCACUCCAGUAUUCUUGCCAGGAAAGUUCUAUGGACAGAAGAGCCUGGUGGGCUGCAGUCCAUGGGUCACAAAGAGUCAGAUAUGACUGAGUGACUGAGCAUGCACACAUGGGGAACUAAGAUCACACAUGCAUGUACCAUGGUAAAAAAAAAAAAAAUAUAUAUAUAUAUAUAUAUAUAUAUAUAUAUGUAUAUAAAACUGAAACUUUGCUGUACACUUGAAACUAACCUAAUAUUGUAAAUCAAUGAGACUUCAGUAAAAAAAUUUUAAGAACAAUAAGAAAAGCUAGGUAUUUUUAAUCAAUCAGGUAAAUAUAUCAUUUUCAGCUACAAAUUGAAGUGUAUUUAUUUUGAGAGCGA